GAUGAACGCUGGCGGCGUGCUUAACACAUGCAAGUCGAACGGAAAGGCCCAAGCUUGCUUGGGUACUCGAGUGGCGAACGGGUGAGUAACACGUGGGUGAUCUGCCCUGCACUUCGGGAUAAGCCUGGGAAACUGGGUCUAAUACCGGAUAGGACCACAUUUUGGAUGGUGUGGUGGAAAGUUUUUCGGUGUGGGAUGAGCUCGCGGCCUAUCAGCUUGUUGGUGGGGUAAUGGCCUACCAAGGCGUCGACGGGUAGCCGGCCUGAGAGGGUGUACGGCCACAUUGGGACUGAGAUACGGCCCAGACUCCUACGGGAGGCAGCAGUGGGGAAGAUUGCACAAUGGGCGCAAGCCUGAUGCAGCGACGCCGCGUGGGGGAUGACGGCCUUCGGGUUGUAAACUCCUUUCGCUGGGGACGAAGCGUUAUGUGACGGUACCUGGAGAAGAAGCACCGGCUAACUACGUG
rnacentral:rRNA from 1 species